rnacentral:rRNA from 1 species
CGUGUAGGCGGAGCAGCAAGUCAGAAGUGAAAUCUCCGGGCUUAACCCGGAAACUGCUUUUGAAACUGUUGCCCUUGAGUAUCGGAGAGGCGGGCGGAAUUCCUUGUGUAGCGGUGAAAUGCGUAGAUAUAAGGAAGAACACCAGUGGCGAAGGAGGCCUGCUGGACGACAACUGACGCUGAGGCGCGAAAGCGUGGGGAGCAAACA